rnacentral:rRNA from 1 species
UUCCGGUUGAUCCUGCCGGACCCGACUGCUAUCGGAUUGAGAUUUAGCCAUGCGAGUCGAACGCCUUCCUGUUGCGGGAGGCGUGGCGUACGGCUCAGUAACACGUAGUCAACCUGCCCUAGAGACAUGAAUAACCCCGGGAAACUGGGAUUAAUACAUGAUAGAUCAUCUCAUCUGGAAGGAGAGAUGGUUUAAAGGGGUGCGCGAGCUUCUUUUGUGCAUCCGCUCUAGGAUGGGACUGCGGCCGAUCAGGCUGUUGGUGGGGUAAUAGCCCACCAAACCUGUAACCGGUACGGGCCUUGAGAGAGGGGGCCCGGAGAUGGACACUGAGAGAAGGGUCCAGGUCCUACGGGGCGCAGCAGGCGCGAAAACCUUCGCAAUGCGCGAAAGCGUGACGAGGUUAAUCCGAGUGGUUCCCGCUGAGGGAAUCUUUUGUUGGCUCUAAAAUGGCCAGUGAAUAAGGGGAGGGCAGGUCUGGUGUCAGCCGCCGCGGUAAUACCAGCUCCUCGAGUGGUCGGGGCGAUUAUUGGGCCUAAAGCAUCCGUAGCCUGUUCUGUAGGUCUUCUGUUAAAUCCAACGGCUUAACCGUUGGCCUGCAGAAGAUACCGCAGGACUAGGAGGCGGGAGAGGUGGACGGUACUCCACGUGUAGGGGUAAAAUCCUUUGAUCCGUGGAAGACCACCAGUGGCGAAGGCGGUCCACCAGAACGCGCUCGACGGUGAGGGAUGAAAGCUGGGGGAGCGAACCGGAUUAGAUACCCGGGUAGUCCCAGCCGUAAACGAUGCGAGCUAGAUGAUCCAAUCGCAAAUCGCGAUUGGAGUGUCGCAGGGAAGCCGUUAAGCUCGCCGCCUGGGGAGUACGGUCGCAAGACUGAAACUUAAAGGAAUUGGCGGA